UCUGCCCCUAGAGGCCUUGCAGGUGUGGCUGCUGUGUCACAUGCACAGCAGUAGGUGGCAGAGAGGAGAGAGGCUAUGUCUACGCUCAGUGAUCUGAUCUAUGAACAUCUGAAUUAUCAGUCGCCUAACAUU
ensembl:snoRNA Gm23011 small nucleolar RNA SNORA17